UACAGAGGUCCCGAGCGUUGUUCGGAUUCAUUGGGCGUAAAGGGUGCGUAGGCGGCGGGGCAAGUCUGAUGUGAAAUCCCGGGGCUCAACCCCGGAACUGCAUUGGAUACUGCCUUGCUAGAGUACUGGAGAGGGAACUGGAAUUUACGGUGUAGCAGUGAAAUGCGUAGAGAUCGUAAGGAAGGCCAGUGGCGAAGGCGAGUCCCUGGACAGUUACUGACGCUGAGGCACGAAGGCCAGGGGAGCAAACGGG
rnacentral:rRNA from 1 species